AUGAAGAUGAUGGAUCACAUCGUAGGUAGCAGCGUCUGGGGUUAAAUUAGCCCCAUGAAGCGUCUUGUCCAUUGGACCUUAAAGAUUUCUGCAAAGCUGAAGCUCUGCUGGGGACAGUCCAGUGGUUUCUUGUAUGGCUGAAUUUAUGGCGAUUCGAAACUCAGUUCUUUGAACACAGAGGAGACAAACUGAACACCCCUGUCUGAGAGGAGAUAAUCUGGAACACCCCAUCGAGUCAGAACUUCUUUUCUGAAGAUAGAGGCAAUAUUCUGGGCAGUGGAUUUGCGCAUGGGGAACAACUCAACCCAUCGGGAAUAAUAAUCAACAAACACAAGCAGCUUUGAUGUCCUGCUAAACUUCUGACUGGAGAUCCACCAUGAAACGCAUCUCUACCACCCAGAUUCCUCCUGUUGUUUGGUAGAGGUCAGUAGAGUGAAGACUUGACUCUUGUUAUCCUCCACUUUUGCAGCGAGGUCAGUGAGUUGAUUUUUGUUUUGGGUAUAAGUGGCUUUCAUUUCUUGGGUAAGAUCAUUCACUGUUUUUUCUUGUCUUUUCAUGAAGUCAAAUAUAUUUUCCCAGUUCCCUUGUACCUGAGAAGUAAACUUUUGAAUUUCUUUUCGAGGAGUUGGUAGAGCGAUGGGUAGGUCAUGCUGAGAACUUGAAAGAGAUCCUCCUUCAGAUGAUGUGCAUAGUUGCAUGUUAUCCACUGGGGGUGCCCAGUUGACUGUGUGCACAGGAGUGCUGCCAGCCAACACAGGAGAAGCCAUUAG